GGGGCAGGGUGAGUCGACCCCUAAGGCGAGGCCGAAAGGCGUAGUCGAUGGGAAACAGGUUAAUAUUCCUGUACUUGGUGUUACUGCGAAGGGGGGACGGAGAAGGCUAUGUUGGCCGGGCGACGGUUGUCCCGGUUUAAGCGUGUAGGCUGGUUUUCCAGGCAAAUCCGGAAAAUCAAGGCUGAGGCGUGAUGACGAGGCACUACGGUGCUGAAGCAACAAAUGCCCUGCUUCCAGGAAAAGCCUCUAAGCAUCAGGUAACAUCAAAUCGUACCCCAAACCGACACAGGUGGUCAGGUAGAGAAUACCAAGGCGCUUGAGAGAACUCGGGUGAAGGAACUAGGCAAAAUGGUGCCGUAACUUCGGGAGAAGGCACGCUGAUAUGUAGGUGAAGUCCCUUGCGGAUGGAGCUGAAAUCAGUCGAAGAUACCAGCUGGCUGCAACUGUUUAUUAAAAACACAGCACUGUGCAAACACGAAAGUGGACGUAUACGGUGUGACGCCUGCCCGGUGCCGGAAGGUUAAUUGAUGGGGUCAGCGCAAGCGAAGCUCUUGAUCGAAGCCCCGGUAAACGGCGGCCGUAACUAUAACGGUCCUAAGGUAGCGAAAUUCCUUGUCGGGUAAGUUCCGACCUGCACGAAUGGCGUAAUGAUGGCCAGGCUGUCUCCACCCGAGACUCAGUGAAAUUGAACUCGCUGUGAAGAUGCAGUGUACCCGCGGCAAGACGGAAAGACCCCGUGAACCUUUACUAUAGCUUGACACUGAACAUUGAGCCUUGAUGUGUAGGAUAGGUGGGAGGCUUUGAAGUGUGGACGCCAGUCUGCAUGGAGCCGGCCUUGAAAUACCACCCUUUAAUGUUUGAUGUUCUAACGUGGACCCGUGAUCCGGGUUGCGGACAGUGUCUGGUGGGUAGUUUGACUGGGGCGGUCUCCUCCUAAAGAGUAACGGAGGAGCACGAAGGUUGGCUAAUCCUGGUCGGACAUCAGGAGGUUAGUGCAAUGGCAUAAGCCAGCUUGACUGCGAGCGUGACGGCGCGAGCAGGUGCGAAAGCAGGUCAUAGUGAUCCGGUGGUUCUGAAUGGAAGGGCCAUCGCUCAACGGAUAAAAGGUACUCCGGGGAUAACAGGCUGAUACCGCCCAAGAGUUCAUAUCGACGGCGGUGUUUGGCACCUCGAUGUCGGCUCAUCACAUCCUGGGGCUGAAGUAGGUCCCAAGGGUAUGGCUGUUCGCCAUUUAAAGUGGUACGCGAGCUGGGUUUAGAACGUCGUGAGACAGUUCGGUCCCUAUCUGCCGUGGGCGCUGGAGAACUGAGGGGGGCUGCUCCUAGUACGAGAGGACCGGAGUGGACGCAUCACUGGUGUUCGGGUUGUCAUGCCAAUGGCACUGCCCGGUAGCUAAAUGCGGAAGAGAUAAGUGCUGAAAGCAUCUAAGCACGAAACUUGCCCCGAGAUGAGUUCUCCCUGACCCUUUAAGGGUCCUGAAGGAACGUUGAAGACGACGACGUUGAUAGGCCGGGUGUGUAAGCGCAGCGAUGCGUUGAGCUAACCGGUACUAAUGAACCGUGAGG
rnacentral:rRNA from 1 species